rnacentral:sRNA from 1 species
GUUUAUCGAUGCGAGGCGUUUGCUUGGUCGGUUCGUGUCUUCUAGCUAGUAGUUCCAUCUCUUCUUCAUGGGAUACGUAAUCCGAGGCUCGGUGCAAGGCUC